rfam:Camelus ferus unplaced genomic scaffold scaffold765, whole genome shotgun sequence.
GUGGGUAUAGCUCAGUGGUAGAGCGCAUGCACGAGGUCCUGGGUUCAAUCUCCAGUACCUCCA